UACGAAGGGGGCUAGCGUUGCUCGGAAUCACUGGGCGUAAAGCGCACGUAGGCGGCUUUUUAAGUCAGGGGUGAAAUCCUGGAGCUCAACUCCAGAACUGCCUUUGAUACUGAGGAUCUCGAGUCCGGGAGAGGUGAGUGGAACUCCGAGUGUAGAGGUGAAAUUCGUAGAUAUUCGGAAGAACACCAGUGGCGAAGGCGGCUCACUGGCCCGGUACUGACGCUGAGGUGCGAAAGCGUGGGGAGCAAACAGGG
rnacentral:rRNA from 1 species